CUUCUCCAAGUUUUCUUCUCCUAUAUAUACUUCCCAUUGUAUCUCUUGUAUGAUAUAUCUAUCAAUAAAAUAUUAGUCUCUUUCUUCCUACAUCUUUUUCUCUUAUUGUUUGCUAUUAGGCUAGUUUCACAACACGUUAUCAGCACGAGUUGCUUAUGGAGUUGGAUCGCACUAUCUAAGUCUUUAAGAACAACUGUUAUUCCAAGCGAGGGUCUGAAUGUUGCACAAUGGCGCGGUCUGCUUUCGACAUCCGCAAUUUUGGAUCUAAACUUGAAUCGCAAAAGAGUUCUGUUAGUCUUGUAGAUAUAAAGAAUGUAACACAAAUAGUCUUGGAUCUUAUGGUAUUUGUUCGCAAGAGGAAGCACUAGAAGUCUCACAAGAAGAUUUUACAACAUUACUCAAUAUAAAGGAUUGCACUUCAAGGCAUCAAACGACAAGUCAUUCUACAAAAGUUUUGAGCAACUUUCGAGGAUGAUGGACACAAUUUACUUAAAGGAUACAUAUUAAAAUGAGGGGGAGAUUUAUUCAAGUUGCACUCUUUUUCCCUUAACUAAGUUUUAUCCUAAUGGGUUUUCUUAGUAAGGUUUUUAAUGAGGCAACAUACAUGAUCCAGAAGUAUCAGGGGGAGACGAUAUGCGCUGCACUCUUUUUCCCUUAGCUAAGGUUUUGUCCCACUGGGUUUUCCUGGCAAGGUUUUUAACGAGGCAGCAUCUCCAAGCGUAUCAAGUUGAUAACCAUGGGGGAGUGUUAUAAAUAUAUUAUUUAUAUUAUGGUUAUCAACACCAAAAAUAGAUUAGCUUCUUCUCCAAGUUCUCUUCUCCUAUAUAUACUUCCCAUUGUAUCUCUUGUAUGAUAUAUCUAUCAAUAAAAUAUUAGUCUCUUUCUCCCUA